AGCAGCCGCGGUAAUUCCAGCUCCAAUAGCGUAUAUUAAAGUUGUUGCAGUUAAAAAGCUCGUAGUUGAAUUUCGGGAUCAAAGGAUCGGUCAUGCCUUGGUACGUACUGGUUUUAUUGGUUCUCACCUUCUAAAGAACCAUAAUGUCAUUCAUUUGAUGUUAUGGGGAAUUAGGACUGUUACUUUGAAAAAUUAGAGUGUUUAAAGCGGGCUCACGCUUGAAUACAUUAGCAUGGAAUAAUGAAAUAGGACGUUUGAUUCUAUUUUGUUGGUUUCUAGGAUCGACGUAAUGAUUAAUAGGGAUAGUUGGGGGCAUUAGUAUUCAAUUGUCAGAGGUGAAAUUCUUGGAUUUAUUGAAGACUAACUACUGCGAAAGCAUUUGCCAAGGAUGUUUUCAUUAAUCAAGAACGAAAGUUAGGGGAUCGAAGACGAUCAGAUACCGUCGUAGUCUUAACCAUAAACU
rnacentral:rRNA from 1 species